rnacentral:rRNA from 1 species
UACGUAGGGUGCAAGCGUUAAUCGGAAUUACUGGGCGUAAAGCGUGCGCAGGCGGCCACUGCAAGUCGGUUGUGAAAUCUCCGGGCUUAACCCGGAAAGGUCAAUCGAUACUGCAGGGCUAGAGUGCAGAAGGGGCAACUGGAAUUCUCGGUGUAGCGGUGAAAUGCGUAGAUAUCGAGAGGAACACCUGCGGCGAAGGCGGGUUGCUGGGCUGACACUGACGCUGAACUGCGAAAGCUAGGGGAGCGAACGGG